GACGAACGCUGGCGGCGUGCUUAACACAUGCAAGUCGAACGAAGAGCGAUGGAAGCUUGCUUCUAUCAAUCUUAGUGGCGAACGGGUGAGUAACGCGUAAUCAACCUGCCCUUCAGAGGGGGACAACAGAUGGAAACGACUGCUAAUACCGCAUACGAUCUAACCUCGGCAUCGAGGAAAGAUGAAAGGUGGCCUCUAUGUAUAAGCUAUCACUGAAGGAGGGGAUUGCGUCUGAUUAGCUAGUUGGAGGGGUAACGGCCCACCAAGGCGAUGAUCAGUAGCCGGUCUGAGAGGAUGAACGGCCACAUUGGGACUGAGACACGGCCCAGACUCCUACGGGAGGCAGCAGUGGGGAAUCUUCCGCAAUGGACGAAAGUCUGACGGAGCAACGCCGCGUGAGUGAUGACGGCCUUCGGGUUGUAAAGCUCUGUUAAUCGGGACGAAAGGCCUUCUUGCGAAUAGUGAGAAGGAUUGACGGUACCGGAAUAGAAAGCCACGGCUAACUACGUG
rnacentral:rRNA from 1 species